UACGUAGGUGGCAAGCGUUGUCCGGAUUUACUGGGCGUAAAGAGCGCGCAGGCGGUCGGAUAAGUCGAAUGUGAAAGCCCCCGGCUCAACCUGGGGAGGGUCAUUCGAUACUGUUCGACUCGAAGGCAGGAGAGGAAGUGGAAUUCCGGGUGUAGUGGUGAAAUGCGUAGAUAUCCGGAGGAACACCAGUGGCGAAGGCGACUUUCUGGCCUGUCCUUGACGCUGAGGCGCGAAAGCUAGGGGAGCAAACGGGG
rnacentral:rRNA from 1 species